rnacentral:sRNA from 1 species
AAAUUAAAUAACAUUUCUAAAUGUCUAACCUUUUAUUUUGGUCAACAAAAUAUCGUUGUAUUUGUGUGAUAUCUUUUCUUGACUAGCUAUCUGGGAUUGUUUUACAAAAGCACAUGCAAGAUUGAUCAUUAGAAUAGCGUUUUAAUGGUUGAUGGCGUGCUUCUUGUAAUGUAUGCAGAAAAUUUCAAUGCCUGUAAUGUCUGCAUUGUUCUGAUCAAUGAUAGUACCUGUUACACAAUGACUAAUUAAAGUCACGGGAUACAUUUCGUGAACAAACUGCCAUGAGUGUGGAGUCCUAUCUAAACUAUAUCUUAUCAAAUGGCUCACUGCUGCUUCUAUUGACAGAAUGGGGAAGUCACAAAUUUAGUAAUAUUGUUUCUUGGAAACAUUUCUGAUCUACAGGACUACAGGACUACCUGUUUGACAGAAGCCUAUAUGUACAUCUCAUCUGGGCCUGUCUAGACACAGGUUUCGACAACACGUAGGGAAAGCAAAAAGCAACAGAACAACAUUUCAACCAAUAAAACUUAACAAAUUAUGGCUUCACAACAUCACGUGAAUGAAAUAGAAGAUGGUAAGCAUA